ensembl:lncRNA
GAAACUGAUAGUCGCACCUUUAAAGACUCACGUCACAUCACAGCAACUAUUUAAGGACAAUGGAAGUUCAAAAAUUCCUCUUAAUCAUGCUGCAGUUGCUUUGCAUAAAGGGACGAGAUAAACAGUUUUCUCCUAUCUUGUGAACUAAGCGUGUUGUUUUGCCCGGACAGAGUGGAAGCGUGCCAGCCCAGUAUCCUUAACACACAUCCUGUUAUCUUCCAGGCUAACCGUGUCAACACAUAAAAGCUGGCUGCUCCGUCUUAUCACGGUGCGACUGAGUGGAGCGGAACCUCUCACUGGUGCCGUUGCCCCGCCAUCAGAGAAUUUGCCAUUUACAACAGCUCACAAUGAGCUGAUCAUGUGCUCUUACAAAUGAGCACCAAAGCCUGGUUGGGCUGGACGGCGGCCGUUUCACUGGAGGAAAUCCAAUUGAUCACUGUAAAAACGGUCCCACCCAGUUUAGAGCACACAUAAAACAGCAUGUUAACUGUGGGCUGCACACACACACAGGCUCUGCAGACGGGCGGCUGUCACGCUGACACACACUCGUUUUCCCUUUCCUUCACGAGGACUUGAACUCGUGUGAUCGCCAAAAAAGGUACGGAACGGGAAUUCUUAUCAAUGGGCUUAUCCGCGCCAGAUGUAUCAGUGAUGUCACGUCUGAUUUAUGGCAACAGGUUGUGGAAAAUGGGAAAUGAGCAAUCUGUGAGCGAAGAGCCGACGCAGACAGAGAAAAUUCCCGAGACGCACGAAAACGGCUCCGUGAACGGCCUGUCCGCAGGCGUCCUGGCUCCUGCUUCCGAGAUCAGCGUCACCGUUGAGCCCACAGUUGAGAAAAAUGGCGGCCCGCUUUUGUUGAGCCUCGCCGUAGAACCAAACGGGAUCGGUCAGGUGACAGAUGGAGGAGACGGAGAACAUGAAGGAGAACACAGAGGAGAACAUGAGGAAGAACACGUCGACGCUGCAGUCGUUAACGAGGCCAUUGAGAAGGUGGUUGAAGAGGUGAAGAAGAGCAAAGAAGAAAAAGUCAGUCGCUUCGGCAAGCUUUUCAAAAUGAAGCCUCACGUGAAGAACGUUCCUAAAGAGGAGAGCCCAGGUGAGAGUCCGGCAGGUGCCAGCACUCCUGAAGAGGAACCGCAGCAGGACACCACCCACCUGAUACCAGAAGCCCAACCGCCACCGGAGCCGGACAGCGCCAGCGUAGAGCCCAGUCCAGAGGAGGAAGGAGCUCCCGAGACCGACGACGGCAACACCCAACCUGAGCAAAUCCAAGAGGAGGACGACCCCGAAAAGAACUCAGUCAUGAACUUCUUCAAAACUCUGGUGACUCCCACCAAAACCGCCAAGAAGAGUUCAGCUGCUCCUGACGCCGCCAAAGAUCAGUCCGAGAAUGAGAAUCAACCGGCAGAAACCGCUACUGUGGCACAGGUAUCGGAGCCCCCCGCAGCACCCAAAGGGAUGUCCGUCCCACCGCCGCCUCCUCCAGAACCCCCCAAAAUGGAAACCAAAGGAGAGACAUCUGCCAAGCCUGCAAAAACAACUCCAAAAGAAGAACCAGUAAAGGAGCCUGAGGCCUCAAAAGGGAAAUCAGCCAAAGAGGCUUUUGGCAAGUUCUUCCGUUCAAAGAAGGUGGAUCCUUCAAAAACGGGCACCUUGGAGGCCGCGCCCAAGCCUGAACCGCCACCGCCCGCCCAGGAGAAGAAACCUGCCUCCAAGUCAGGAUUCAUGUCCAUCUUCAAGUCCAAAGCUGCCGAUCCAAAGAAGGCCAGCCCAGCCCCCCCUGCCGCAGCUGAACCAGCCCCGGCUGUAAAAACCAAAGAGGAGCCGAAACCAGCAGCCAAGCCCUCAGAAACCCCUGCUGACAACAAAGCAGCUGUGACGGCUGCUCAGGCCGGGGAAGAUGCUCCCAGCGGCCCCAAGAAACUGGAGAAGAGGAACUCCAUCCAGCUCUUCUUCAAAAUUCGGAGUCAGAAGCGCAACUCCACAGAUGCUGGCAUCCAAACGGAACCACUCGCUGGUUCUGCAGCAGCUGAGAAGUCCAAAUGAAGCCAGAACCGCCAGUGAAGAUGGUGAAACGCUUGACUGAGGUCGUUGAAUCUGCUGCGGUCUGAAAAAGACGCAACUGUUGACAGAUAUAUAUUUUUUGGUGACAAAUGUCCUGAUAAAGUGUAGCUUGUGAAGACUUUUCUACAGACAUUUAAUGUGACUUUCUCUCUGUUUUUCCAACCUGACCAGUUGGGGUUAAGUCCUAGACAGGAGCGCGCUUUGUCUUUAGUUAAUCUGUCAGAAACACUUCAAACGUGCCGUUAAAAAUUAAAUUUGGCUUCAUAUAAUAUCAACAGGCUAAUGGGAAAUGAUCUUUAAAGUAGAAAUAAGGUCUUUGUGUAACAGAACACAUUUGCAUUUACUAUUUUUAACUUUGUAUGAGCUCUUAAGCUAACAGUCGUGUAAUUAUAUGACUCACUGUUCUGUGGGAAGCUGAUGGAAAUCGUUCACAAAUUCAACAGACAAACGUGUCCUUGUGAUUCCUGUCACCAAACUAACUAAAGUCUGAGUGCUUUUGUUUGCCUCCAUAUAACUUAUAUGUUGGUCCGGGCGUACGUGUGCAUAUGUAACUUCAGCCAUCAUGAAGACAAUAAAUAUGUUUACUGUUGUUUCUUCUUUGUUGGUGUGAUUCCACCCUUGAUUUAGUUUGUCUGAAUAGGAUAGAAGUGA